rnacentral:lncRNA from 1 species
GUUUUCUUCUCGAUCGUCUACCCUCAUUCCCACUAUCCACUCAGAUGCUCCUCCUAGACAGCAGUUGUCUGAUAUUUCUCCUUUUGUGGUUGUUUUAGGGAAAAACUUAAAAUGGAUAUGAAAAGUGAAGAAAGUGAUCAUAGGAGAAAACCAUUUCAGGUGUCUGAUGAUUUGUGAGCCUCAAGUGACUACUCUGUGGAAUCACCUGUCCUUGCCUUUGAAUUAGCUUUCCGUAGGCCAUGAGUCAACAUUAGUAGUUUAUACAUCCAAAUUGAUGACAAGAGCACCUCAAAGGCAGCAGCCUCAAGAAGCAGCCAUGGCCCCAGAGUUGUCCCACGGAUGCAGAAAACUUAAUGGAGGAGGCUGAGGUCAGAAUGGGAAGAGUUUUUAAAAAGUAAAAAGGGGAGCUAAUAUGUGAGGAACUGAUUGCUGUGCAUUAUUUUCCGCUGAACAGACCACAGACCUUCUUUUAACUUCUAAUCUCAAGCACAUAGCAGCUGUUGUUUUCAUAUUAAAGAUCAGUAAGUGUUUGUUGAA